CUCAUAAGCAGAAAUUGACAGGCGAAGCGAAAAUCUUUGUUGAAAGCAAUGUAGUGUUGAAUAAAAAUCGCUCACUAUCUUUCCUUUAAACCCUCAUAACUUUGUCACUUCUUUAUCUUUUUUCACCGUAGACAGACGGUUGAUUUUGAAAUUGCGCGUCAAAUUUUUUCCCAAAUCAUAAAAACCUAUGCAUUGUACUGUAACUGAAAAUACACCUGAACUUUAAUGACCCAGUCACUGAUAACAAUCACGUGACAUAUGCGAUUUAUCUAAUAGCCCGAACUACUCGCGGUAACAGCCGGUACAUCAGAGGGCCAUGUCAAGUGGGUGAUAAACAUGUCGGUUUCUUUAUAAUUUUAUUAUUUUUCUCUGAUCGAACUGCUAUCCUGGGGAUGCGUAUUUUGUAUCAAGCAGAGUGUUCACUCUCCUUCUAAUAUAACCUCCUUGCUCAUAUUAA
rnacentral:lncRNA from 1 species